rnacentral:rRNA from 1 species
AGUAACACGUGGGUAACCUGCCCUUAAGUGGGGGAUAACAUUUGGAAACAGAUGCUAAUACCGCAUAAAUCCAAGAACCGCAUGGUUCUUGGCUGAAAGAUGGCGUAAGCUAUCGCUUUUGGAUGGACCCGCGGCGUAUUAGCUAGUUGGUGAGGUAACGGCUCACCAAGGCAAUGAUACGUAGCCGAACUGAGAGGUUGAUCGGCCACAUUGGGACUGAGACACGGCCCAAACUCCUACGGGAGGCAGCAUG